CGGCCGCAGUACCCUGACUGUGCUAAGGUAGCAUAAUAAAUUGAUUUUUAAUUGAAGUCUAGAAUGAAUGGAUUAAACGUAAAUUAACUGUCUUAAUAUAAUUUUCUUAAAAUUUUUUAUAAGGUGAAAAAACCUUAGGUUUUUAAAAGACGAGAAGACCCUAAGAAUUUUAAGAAAAAAUUUUCUAUCAUUCUUUUUGCUGGGGCGGCAAAGGAUCAAAAAACAUCCUAUUUAUUACCGAUUUUUUUCAUAAAAUUUAAAUUACCUUAGGGAUAACAGCAUAAAUGUGACCUCGAUGUUGGACUAGGAAAUUUUUUGGUUAGCCAUCAAAGAUUUUGGU
rnacentral:rRNA from 1 species